rnacentral:rRNA from 1 species
AGGUAAGCUACUAAGAGCGAAUGGUGGAUGCCUUGACUGGUAAAGGCGAUGAAGGACGUACUAGACUGCGAUAAGCUACGGGGAGCUGUCAAGAAGCUUUGAUCCGUAGAUUUCCGAAUGGGGCAACCCAAUGUAUAGAGAUAUACAUUACCUAUAUAGGAGCGAACGAGGGGAAUUGAAACAUCUUAGUACCCUCAGGAAAAGAAAUCAAUAGAGAUUGCGUCAGUAGCGGCGAGCGAAAGCGCAAGAGGGCAAACCCAGUGCUUGCACUGGGGGUUGUAGGACUGCAAUGUGCAAGAGGUAAGUUUAGCAGAACAUUCUGGAAAGUAUAACCAUAGAGGGUGAUAGUCCCGUAUGCGAAAAACAAACCUUAGCUAGCAGUAUCCUGAGUAGGGCGGGACACGAGGAAUCCUGUCUGAAUCCGGGUCGACCACGAUCCAACCCUAAAUACUAAUACCAGAUCGAUAGUGCACAAGUACCGUGAGGGAAAGGUGAAAAGAACUGAGGUGAUCAGAGUGAAAUAGAACCUGAAACCAUUUGCUUACAAUCAUUCAGAGCCCUAUGUAGCAAUACAGGGUGAUGGACUGCCUUUUGCAUAAUGAGCCUGCGAGUUGUGGUGUCUGGCAAGGUUAAGCAAACGCGAAGCCGUAGCGAAAGCGAGUCUGAAUAGGGCGCUUAGUCAGAUGCUGCAGACCCGAAACGAAGUGAUCUAUCCAUGAGCAAGUUGAAGCUAGUGUAAGAACUAGUGGAGGACUGAACCCAUAGGCGUUGAAAAGCCCCGGGAUGACUUGUGGAUAGGGGUGAAAGGCCAAUCAAACUUCGUGAUAGCUGGUUCUCUCCGAAAUAUAUUUAGGUAUAGCGUUGUGUCGUAAUAUAAGGGGGUAGAGCACUGAAUGGGCUAGGGCAUACACCAAUGUACCAAACCCUAUCAAACUCCGAAUACCUUAUAUGUAAUCACAGCAGUCAGGCGGCGAGUGAUAAAAUCCGUCGUCAAGAGGGAAACAACCCAGACUACCAGCUAAGGUCCCUAAGUCUUACUUAAGUGGAAAACGAUGUGAAGUUACUUAAACAACCAGGAGGUUGGCUUAGAAGCAGCCAUCCUUUAAAGAAAGCGUAAUAGCUCACUGGUCUAGUGAUUUUGCGCGGAAAAUAUAACGGGGCUAAAGUAAGUACCGAAGCUGUAGACUUAGUUUACUAAGUGGUAGGAGAGCGUUCUAUUUGCGUCGAAGGUAUACCGGUAAGGAGUGCUGGAGCGAAUAGAAGUGAGCAUGCAGGCAUGAGUAGCGAUAAUUAAUGUGAGAAUCAUUAACGCCGUAAACCCAAGGUUUCCUACGCGAUGCUCGUCAUCGUAGGGUUAGUCGGGUCCUAAGUCGAGUCCGAAAGGGGUAGACGAUGGCAAAUUGGUUAAUAUUCCAAUACCAACAUUAGUGUGCGAUGGAAGGACGCUUAGGGCUAAGGGGGCUAGCGGAUGGAAGUGCUAGUCUAAGGUCGUAGGAGGUUAUACAGGCAAAUCCGUAUAACAAUACUCCGAGAACUGAAAGGCUUUUUGAAGUCUUCGGAUGGAUAGAAGAACCCCUGAUGCCGUCGAGCCAAGAAAAGUUUCUAAGUUUAGCUAAUGUUGCCCGUACCGUAAACCGACACAGGUGGGUGGGAUGAGUAUUCUAAGGCGCGUGGAAGAACUCUCUUUAAGGAACUCUGCAAAAUAGCACCGUAUCUUCGGUAUAAGGUGUGGUUAGCUUUGUAUUAGGAUUU